UACGUAGGCAGCGAGCGUUGUUCGGAGUUACUGGGCGUAAAGCGUGCGUAGGUGGUUCGUUAAGUCUGAUGUGAAAGCCCUGGGCUCAACCUGGGAAUGGCAUUGGAAACUGGCGAUCUAGAGUGCGGUAGAGGGUAGUGGAAUUCCCGGUGUAGCAGUGAAAUGCGUAGAGAUCGGGAGGAACAUCUGUGGCGAAGGCGACUGCCUGGACCAGCACUGACACUGAGGCACGAAAGCGUGGGGAGCAAACAGG
rnacentral:rRNA from 1 species